CAACCUCAACUCAUAUGGGACUACCCCCUGAAUUUAAGCAUAUUAAUUAGGGGAGGAAAAGAAACUAACAAGGAUUUUCUUAGUAGCGGCGAGCGAAAAGAAAUCAGUUCAGCACUAAGUCACUUUGUCUAUAUGGCAAAUGUGAGAUGCAGUGUAUGGAGCGUCAAUAUUCUAGUAUGAGAAAUUAACGAUUUAAGUCCUUCUUAAAUGAGGCCAUUUACCCAUAGAGGGUGCCAGGCCCGUAUAACGUUAAUGAUUACUAGAUGAUGUUUCCAAAGAGUCGUGUUGCUUGAUAGUGCAGCACUAAGUGGGUGGUAAACUCCAUCUAAAACUAAAUAUAACCAUGAGACCGAUAGUAAACAAGUACCGUGAGGGAAAGUUGAAAAGAACUCUGAAUAGAGAGUUAAAUAGUACGUGAAACUGCUUAGAGGUUAAGCCCGAUGAACCUGAAUAUCCGUUAUGGAAAAAUUCAUCAUUAAAGUUAUAAUAUUUAAACAAUAUUAUACAAAUAAUGUGCAUUUUUUCCAUAUAAGGACAUUGUAAUCUAUUAACAUAUUAAAUUUAUCAUAAAAUAUGGCUUAUAGUUUAUUCAAAUUAUUAUGCUUGCAUUUUAACAUAGAAUAAAUGUCAUUAAUUUGAUAAAGUGUUGAUAGACUAAUAAGAAUACAGUGCGUUAAUUUUUCGGAAUUAUAUAAUGGCAUAAUUAUCAUUGAUUUUUGUGUUUAUUAUAAGCACUUGUAUGAUUAACAAUGCGAAAGAUUCAGGAUACCUUCGGGA
rnacentral:ncRNA from 1 species